rnacentral:rRNA from 1 species
UACGUAGGCAGCGAGCGUUGUUCGGAGUUACUGGGCGUAAAGCGUGCGUAGGCGGUGUCUUAAGUUUGUUGUGAAAUCUCCCGGCUUAACCGGGAGGGUGCGGCGAAUACUGAGAUGCUGGAGUGCGGGAGAGGUAAGCGGAAUUCCUGGAUGUAGCGGUGAAAUGCGCAGAUAUCAGGAGGAACACCGGUGGCGAAGGCGGGUCUCUGGGCCGAUACUGACGCUGAGGAGCGAAAGCGUGGGGAGCAAACAGG